UGAGGAAUAUUGGUCAAUGGGCGCAAGCCCGAACCAGCCAUCCCGCGUGCAGGAAGACGGCGCUAUGCGUUGUAAACUGCUUUUCCAGGGGGAGAAACUUGCGCACGUGUUGCGCAAUUGACGGUACCCUGGGAAUAAGCAUCGGCUAACUCCGUGCCAGCAGCCGCGGUAAUACGGAGGAUGCGAGCGUUAUCCGGAUUCAUUGGGUUUAAAGGGUGCGUAGGCGGACUAUUAAGUCAGUGGUGAAAUCCUGCAGCUUAACUGCAGAACUGCCAUUGAUACUGAUAGUCUUGAGUUUGGUUAAGGUAGGCGGAAUGUGUAAUGUAGCGGUGAAAUGCUUAGAUAUUACACAGAACACCAAUUGCGUAGGCAGCUUACUGAGCCGACACUGACGCUGAGGCACGAAAGCGUGGGGAUCGAACAG
rnacentral:rRNA from 1 species